rnacentral:piRNA from 1 species
UGCGGAAGAAUACCGAGUAGU